CUGGGGUACAGGAUGGGUGGUCGACCAGUUGGAAAGUAAUUGUUUCUAAUGUACUUCACCUGGUCCACUAGCCGUCCGUAUCCACUGCCG
rnacentral:pre_miRNA from 12 species